GGGCCGUUAGCUCAGUCGGUCAGAGCAGUGGACUCAUAAUCCAUUGGUCGCAGGUUCGAGCCCUGCACGGCCCACCA
rnacentral:tRNA from 1 species